rnacentral:rRNA from 1 species
CUGGAAACGGUAGCUAAUACCGCAUAACGUCGCAAGACCAAAGUGGGGGACCUUCGGGCCUCAUGCCAUCAGAUGUGCCCAGAUGGGAUUAGCUAGUAGGUGGGGUAAUGGCUCACCUAGGCGACGAUCCCUAGCUGGUCUGAGAGGAUGACCAGCCACACUGGAACUGAGACACGGUCCAGACUCCUACGGGAGGCAGCAGUGGGGAAUAUUGCACAAUGGGCGCAAGCCUGAUGCAGCCAUGCCGCGUGUAUGAAGAAGGCCUUCGGGUUGUAAAGUACUUUCAGCGAGGAGGAAGGCGUUAAGGUUAAUAACUUUAGUGAUUGACGUUACUCGCAGAAGAAGCACCGGCUAACUCCGUGCCAGCAGCCGCGGUAAUACGGAGGGUGCAAGCGUUAAUCGGAAUUACUGGGCGUAAAGCGCACGCAGGCGGUUUGUUAAGUCAGAUGUGAAAUCCCCGGGCUCAACCUGGGAACUGCAUUUGAAACUGGCAAGCUUGAGUCUUGUAGAGGGGGGUAGAAUUCC